rnacentral:rRNA from 1 species
UACGUAGGGCGCAAGCGUUGUCCGGAAUUAUUGGGCGUAAAGAGCUCGUAGGCGGUUUGUCGCGUCUGCUGUGAAAACCCGAGGCUCAACCUCGGGCCUGCAGUGGGUACGGGCAGACUAGAGUGUGGUAGGGGAGACUGGAAUUCCUGGUGUAGCGGUGAAAUGCGCAGAUAUCAGGAGGAACACCGGUGGCGAAGGCGGGUCUCUGGGCCGAUACUGACGCUGAGGAGCGAAAGCGUGGGGAGCGGACAGU